UGCUUCCCAGCUUCGUUUUCUAUUUGUAAGAUUCAUUUAUGACAUUUCCCAGGCCUCCCUCUCUCCUCCACCCUCCAGGCAGUGGCGCCUCUGAGGGCUUCAGGAAUACGGGCCUCCCUGCUGCUUGGCUGAGUGUGCUCUGUGUUUGACUGAGAAAUCACCUCACCCCGAGGAGGAAGAGUUAACCAUGGUGCAUGGUUUCAGCCAUGGAUGCUGGGGCUUGUCGAUUUGGGCUUGUGGUAAGAAAAGAGCAUGGCCCGAAGAGCUGCCCACUGCAUCGUGGCUGGCCUCUGAAGUGCUCUGCAGCUUUGGCUCCACCCUGUGGCUUCUCUGCUCUGCCCUUCUGAGUUCUCCUCAGCUGACAGACUCACAGGACCUGGGGCGGCUGGACUGAGCCUGGUUCAGCAGGGUAGGUGGAAGAAGGUCACAGGUUGUCAACCAGAAGACAAUAGUCUCCUGUCAGUGUCAUGAGGAGGAGAGUUUAUCCCGGAGAACAAACGGCAUAUGCCAACCAACGUCAUCAUCAUUGUCAGCAUUGUCAUCGCUACAGCUCUAAGCUGUCUCUGCCACUUCAUUACGUCAACCCUGUGCCCUCUCUCAUCUCAGCCUCCUUGCUCCAAAACAGUGGCAGUCAUGCCACCCUCCUGGGGUUAUUUUGAGAACCAGACAAAUUGGUGGAUAUGAAAAUCCUCUGAAAAUACAUGAGGAAGCCCAUGCUAUUGUUCAGAUCUUCUCCAAUUACACCCAAAGUCACACACAAUUCCCCUGUGAGGAUAUGACUGUCCCCUUCCUUUGUGGGAACUCAAGUGUGAGCUUUACAGUUUACUCUUGAGCUCAAGGAAGAUUCAUGCAAGUUAAUACUCUUGACGAAGACAGGCAAACAAAGCAGAAACCAAAUUUCAGGACAAAUAAAGCUGGAGUUCA